GCCUCUUUAGCUCAGUGGUAGAGCACUGGUUUUCUAAACUAGUGGUCGUGAGUUCAAUUCUCACAGGGGCA
rnacentral:tRNA from 1 species